ACCGCGGUAGCCCAGUUGGUAGUGGCGUCGGCAGUAGACGCCGAAGGUCCUAGGGUCAAAUCCUGCCUGCGGUG